GCGCCCGUAGCUCAGCUGGAUAGAGCACGGCAUUCCUAAUGCUGAGGCCACAGGUUCGAAUCCUGUCGGGCGCACCA
rnacentral:tRNA from 1 species